rnacentral:rRNA from 1 species
GGCCGCCAAAGGGAGCAAUCCCGGCCACGGAUGGGCAUGCGGCGCAUUAGCUAGUCGGCGGGGUAACGGCCCACCGAGGCGACGAUGCGUAGGGGUUCUGAGAGGAAGGCCCCCCACACUGGUACUGAGACACGGACCAUACUCCUACGGGAGGCAGCAGUGAGGAAUAUUGGUCAAUGGGCGCGAGCCUGAACCAGCCAAGUCGCGUGAGGGAGGACGGCCCUACGGGUUGUAAACCUCUUUUGCCGGGGAGCAACGGGCGCCACGUGUGGCGCCACUGAGAGUACCCGGAGAAAAAGCAUCGGCUAACUCCGUGCCAGCAGCCGCGGUAAUACGGAGGAUGCGAGCGUUAUCCGGAUUUAUUGGGUUUAAAGGGUGCGUAGGCGGAUCGUUAAGUCAGUGGUCAAAUUGAG